UACGUAGGCAGCGAGCGUUGUUCGGAGUUACUGGGCGUAAAGGGUGUGUAGGCGGUUGCUUAAGUUUGGUGUGAAAUCUCCCGGCUCAACCUCGGAUCGGCCGUGGCGACUCGUGGGCUGGAGCACUGUAGAGGCGGGUGGAAUUCCGGGUGUAGCGGUGGAAUGCGUAGAGAUCCGGAAGAACACCAGUGGCGAAGGCGGCCCGCUGGGCAGUGGCUGACGCUGAGGCGCGGCAGCGUCGG
rnacentral:rRNA from 1 species